rnacentral:rRNA from 1 species
UUCCUACGGGACGCAGCAGUGGGGAAUAUUGCACAAUGGGGGAAACCCUGAUGCAGCAACGCCGCGUGAGUGAAGAAGUAUCUCGGUAUGUAAAGCUCUAUCAGCAGGGAAGAAAAUGACGGUACCUGACUAAGAAGCCCCGGCUAACUACGUGCCAGCAGCCGCGGUAAUACGUAGGGGGCAAGCGUUAUCCGGAUUUACUGGGUGUAAAGGGAGCGUAGACGGUGUGGCAAGUCUGAAGUGAAAGCCCGGGGCUCAACCCC